UGCCGUUCGCAGCCCAGUCCUACUGGGUAUUAACAGCCUUUUUGGUAGAUCGGGUUCUGCAAAUAUUUGACGUCUGGAAAACUUUCAACAAAGAUGGCGCUCGGAAGCCUGGCUCGGAGGCCCCAGGAUGACAACCUAAUUACGUUCCUUUUAAUAGCUCCUUCCCAAGUGCUCAGUCACGGACAUCUGCUCUGCCGCGGUUGCCUUCGGGGAGGAAUAUUUUUAACACCGUGAUGCCACAAAAGGAAACUUCUGAAGCCUGGAUGGAAAUGGCCUCAGCGCUCCCAGGGCCGCAGAUGCCCAGAACCUCUGGAACAAGAAAGAAGGAGAAACUCAGGGACAAGAAAGCAAGAGUGCAUUGGAGUGGCGCUCCCUUCCUGGAGAUGUUGGUGAUGGCACAUGAGAGGGCGCUGCAUCUCCAGGGGAUUGUGAAGAGAGGAACUCUCAAGCCAGAGGCCGUGUGUGACCCAUAGGUGGUUGUGGGUUUGGUGAGCAUCAUGAUAACCUCAAGUUUAGUAAGAAAAAAAAUAAAAAAAAUAACGUAA